rnacentral:rRNA from 1 species
GACGAACCGUGCGAACGUUGUUCGGAAUCACUGGGCUUAAAGGGCGCGUAGGCGGCCAACUAAGUCAGACGUGAAAUCCCUCGGCUUAACCGGGGAACUGCGUCUGAUACUGGAUGGCUUGAGUUUGGGAGAGGGAUGCGGAAUUCCAGGUGUAGCGGUGAAAUGCGUAGAGAUGUGGAGGAACACCGAUGGCGAAGGCAGCCUCCUGGGCCAGCACUGACGCUCAUGCACGAAAGCGUGGGGAGCAAACAGG